AGAGGGAUAUAAAGGAAAGGGAUAUGGUAAAUGGGAGUUUUAGGUCCAUGUCAAGCAGGAGUGAUUCUGGUAGUAGUGAUGGUGAUGGUGGUGGAGCGAGGAGAAGUGGUGGGCUUAGUGUCAGAGCUGUUGACCGAGAGCCUAUAAAAGAAAGGGAUAUGAUAAAUGGCAGUUAUAGGUCCGGGUCAAGCAGGAGUGAUUCUGGUAGUAGUGAUGGUGAUGCUGGUGGAAUGAGGAGAAGUGGGCUUAGUGUCAGGGCUGUUGACCGAGAGCCUGGGGAAUUGUCUAGCGAGAGUGGGUCUGAUGGGGCUAUUGAGUCAGACCAGAAGACCAAGAAUGCCGCCAAUGGGAAUCAGUCUUCUGUACAGAGCAAGAAACGAAAAUAUUCUCCAAUUAUAUGGGAUAGGGAAGAUAAGG
rnacentral:lncRNA from 1 species